rnacentral:rRNA from 1 species
UAUUGGACAAUGGGGGGAACCCUGAUCCAGCGACGCCGCGUGAGUGAAGAAGUAUCUCGGUAUGUAAAGCUCUAUCAGCAGGGAAGAAAGAAAUGACGGUACCUGAGUAAGAAGCCCCGGCUAACUACGUGCCAGCAGCCGCGGUAAUACGUAGGGGGCAAGCGUUAUCCGGAAUUACUGGGUGUAAAGGGAGCGUAGACGGUGAUCUAAGUCUGGAGUGAAAGGCGGGGGCCCAACCCCCGGACUGCUCUGGAAACUAUGUGACUGGAGUACAGGAGAGGUGAGCGGAAUUCCUAGUGUAGCGGUGAAAUGCGUAGAUAUUAGGAGGAACACCAGUGGCGAAGGCGGCUUGCUGGACAGAGACUGACGUUGAGGCUCGAAAGCGUGGGGAGCAAACAGG